GCAAAUUUACAGAUUACCAUAAAAUUGACCAGUAAAAAAAUGCCAACGAUUUAUUUUUAUUUUACAAAUAAUACAAAUUUCUACAGCUAUGGUGCGAAGCUGAAGAGCGCUCAAUGAACCGAUUUCUUUCAACGAUACGUCAAAAGAUCACAAAUCGUAUCUAGCUUCGACUAGAUUGGAUAAACGUUACCCUCAAAAAUUGAACAAAUUUCCCUCGUUCCCCGUAAAAGGGAAAAUCUACCAAAAAAUUAAAAAUUUAAAAAUCGCUAAUUUUCGAAAUUUUUUAAAAAAUUUUUACUUAAAACUGCCAUAACUUUUUCAAAAAUGAUCAAUUAACAUAAUUUUUUUUUUUGUAAAUGCUUGAUGUCUUUACCUAUUAUUUGGUAUAUUUUUUUAUAAAUCUGACCCUUUACCUGCCCACUGGGGGGGGAUUUAAAAUGACAAAUUUUUCACAAAAAAUUAUCUUUUUCAAGUUAACUUUUGAAAGUCUGACACUUUUACAUAUAUCUUAAAUUAAAGCUAAUGUAGUAUACUUUAUUAUGGAAAAAAAA